UGGGGGAUAUUGCACAAUGGGCGAAAGCCUGAUGCAGCGACGCCGCGUGGGGGAUGAAGGCCUUCGGGUUGUAAACUUCUUUUGCUCUAAAAAAGGGGCACAAGGGGGUGUGUUGGGUGUAGGGGUUGAUUAGCGCCGGCUAACUACGUGCCACCAGCCGCGGUAAUACGUAGGGCGCGAGCGUUGUCCGGAAUUAUUGGGCGUAAAGGGCUUGUAGGUGGCUGGUUGCGUCUGUCGUGAAAGCUCAUGGCUUAACUGUGGGUUUGCGGUGGGUACGGGCUGGCUUGAGUGCAGUAGGGGAUGCUGGAAUUCCUGGUGUAGCGGUGGAAUGCGCAGAUAUCAGGAGGAAUACCGGUGGCGAAGGCGGGUCUCUGGGCUGUUACUGACACUGAGGAGCGAAAGCAUGGGGAGCGAACAGG
rnacentral:rRNA from 1 species